GCGGCCGUGGUCCGGCUCGGUCCAAGACGCCGGCCGCCACGCCGGCGGCGGGGGUUCAAACCCCCUCGGCCGUA
rnacentral:tRNA from 1 species